rnacentral:lncRNA from 1 species
UCCUUUUUCACCCCUCUCCCCCCUCCCAACCUCCCUCUAGGGCCUCUCAAGUCCCCUCUGACAUUGUUCUCGAUUUAACUUCGUUCUCCGUUCGAACUUGCUUCAUACCAUGCCAUUUUGAACUUCGUCGCUCCUCUUCCGUCUACCUCCGUGAUUCGCGUAAUUGAAACCAGUCGUCAAAAAAUAUUCUUACUAUUCUUUCAUUUCAAAUAAAAUGUGUCUCUCUCCGGGCUGAUUAUUGAAUUUGGUAGAUAAACUGAUAGACAAAGGAAAAAGUAAAGUGAUCCUGUUGGCAGAAGCGAGUGGUUGCAAUGGACAAAGAAGGUAUUCGACUAACUCGCGGCAACUCACGAGAGACCCUAUAAUUAAUCCGUCAUUUGCCCCCUUUGUUUUUAUAGAUUUAAUUACAAUCUUUGAGAGCUGAAAGCCAAAUGGAAAUGCGGACUACGAAGACAAUAAAAUAAGGGAUUUUCUCUUAAAAAACCUCAGUAUUUUAUUAUAGUUAAAAGAAGAAAUUUACAAAGUUACGUACCAGACGUUUUGAAAUUGCACAUAUGCAUGUCUUCAUCAGUGGAUACUUGACAAAACAAUCAAAACAAGUGAAAAGACUAUUACAAUUUAAAUAAAGAGCCGUGGCAAGAAAACAAGCAAUUCCAUGGAUGCAAAGAUGAGAAAUACAACUCGUAGUGAAAUUACAAUAAUCACAAAGGAAAGCAGUCUACAGUGCAAGUGUGAAAGUGAAAAUAAUCAUAACCUCAACUUAGGUGAAUACUCAUAUUUUAUUUGAAUUCACACAUAUUGGGGCUAGCAGGAAACCCCACAAUCAGUAAUCACAGUUAAGUAGUGAUCAGUUACAAAAUUUUGUCUCUGGAUUUUUAUUUACUUUUUCAAUAUUGGCGAGUCGCACUGCUUUCAUACAAAUGCAGAAAUUAGUGGUAUAAGUAAAGGAUUUUUCUUGUAAUCGAUAUUUGCAAAGUAUUACGUCAUUAUUUAACGGUCACUGUUUGUUGAAAACCAAUAAAUAUUGGUGAAGUUCUCGUGCGCCGGUACUUGCCAAGUGAUAAUAGCCGCUUAAUGGUCUGUGAAGCAUACUAUUGUAACGUUUAUAUGUUCCUUUCUUAUUAAAUUUUAUUAGUAAAGUUUUCAUGUCACAUUAUUUAAAAAAAAAAAAAAAAAAACUUUGAAUUUGGUCCAGCCAUGGGGGGUUCAAAAUUGUCAAUAAAGUGUGUUCCCUAUUUCUAAUGGCGAUUCCAAAAAGAUGGUAAGGAACGACGUAAGUGGAGGGCUACGAUAUUUUUCUCCGAGAU